CCAGUACCGUGAAAUUGUUGAAAGGGAAGCGCUUGGCCACCAGACUGGCCCGUGGGUGAUCAGCCGGUAUCUACCGGUGCACUCGCCCGUGGUCAGGCAGCAUUCGGUUUGGGCAGCUGGAUAAAGUCCACCGGAAUGUAGCUCUUCUCGGGGAGUGUUAUAGCCCGGAAGGUGCCCAUGCAGCCGCCUGGACCGAGGACCGCGCUUCGGCUAGGAAUGCUGGCGUAAAUGGUUGUAAGCGACCCGUCUUGAAACACGGACCAAGAAGUCUAACAUCUAUGCGAGUGUUUGGGUGUCAAACCCAUGCGCGUAAUGAAAGUGAACGGAGGUGGGAACCUGAAGGGUGCACCAUCGACCGAUCCUGAUGUCUUCGGAUGGAUUUGAGUAAGAGCAUAGCUGUUGGGACCCGAAAGAUGGUGAACUAUGCCUGAAUAGGGUGAAGCCAGAGGAAACUCUGGUGGAGGCUCGCAGCGGUUCUGACGUGCAAAUCGAUCGUCAAAUUUGGGUAUAGGGGCGAAAGACUAAUCGAACCAUCUGUUACUAGAUGGUACACGGGCCUGUGUGGCCCCGGUAGUUCCCACCCGGUGGGGGCGACAUCGUCGGUUUCUUCGGGAACGCCUUGAGGCUACCCGCCAUGAGCUUUGGGGGCUCAUCCACAGACUAAGUGGCGGUGGCCGUGACUUGGAGCACGGUUA
rnacentral:rRNA from 2 species